CUGACCUACGGGGCGCAGCAGUGGGGAAUAUUGGGCAAUGGAGGCAACUCUGACCCAGCAACGCCGCGUGAAUGAUGAAGGUCUUCGGAUUGUAAAGUUCUUUUCUAAGGGAAGAAGAAAGUGACGGUACCUUAGGAAUAAGCCUCGGCUAACUACGUGCCAGCAGCCGCGGUAAUACGUAGGAGGCAAGCGUUAUCCGGAAUGACUGGGCGCAAAGGGUGCGUAGGUGGUUUGACAAGUUGGUAGCGCAACUCCGGGGCUCAACCUCGGCACUACUACCAAAACUGUUGAACUUGAGUGCAGGG
rnacentral:rRNA from 1 species